rnacentral:rRNA from 1 species
GAUGAACGCUGGCGGCGUGCCUAAUACAUGCAAGUCGAGCGAACGGACGAGAAGCUUGCUUCUCUGAUGUUAGCGGCGGACGGGUGAGUAACACGUGGAUAACCUACCUAUAAGACUGGGAUAACUUCGGGAAACCGGAGCUAAUACCGGAUGAUAUUUUGAACCGCAUGGUUCAAAAGUGAAAGACGGUCUUGCUGUCACUUAUAGAUGGAUCCGCGCUGCAUUAGCUAGUUGGUAAGGUAACGGCUUACCAAGGCAACGAUGCAUAGCCGACCUGAGAGGGUGAUCGGCCACACUGGAACUGAGACACGGUCCAGACUCCUACGGGAGGCAGCAGUAGGGAAUCUUCCGCAAUGGGCGAAAGCCUGACGGAGCAACGCCGCGUGAGUGAUGAAGGUCUUCGGAUCGUAAAACUCUGUUAUAGGGAAGAACAUAUGUGUAAGUAACUGUGCACACCUUGACGGUACCUAAUCAGAAAGCCACGGCUAACUACGUG